AAUAAAAACAAUAAAAUGAAGAAAAAAAAUAUGUAUUAACUAAAGGUAAAAAAACUUGGGUCCAAGUCAUUUAUCAGGACUAAACGACAUAUAUAGGAGAGCACUGAUACGUAGUCAUUUAGAUGAUGACAGUCCUUCGCCCAACAGUAUUGACUGAUGAAUUGGAGGCGAUGACAGUCCUUCGCCAACAGUAUUGACUAAUGAAUUGGAGGCCGAUUACAGUAUCCCUUGAGCGGUUAAAAACAUGUAUCUCACAAAAAUAAUGAACGAUAAAGAUUUCUGUCAUAACCAUAAUAUGCUACAUUUUUCAAAAUAAAUGUCUCAAGUUCUUAUUAUGGAUAAGAACAUAUA